rnacentral:tRNA from 1 species
GCUGAGGUAGCUUGGUUGUGAAAGCCUUAGUCUAAAGACCUGAAAAUCCCUGGUUCGAUCCCAGGUUUUGGUA